rnacentral:rRNA from 1 species
UACGGGGGGGGCAAGCGUUGUUCGGAAUUACUGGGCGUAAAGGGCGCGUAGGCGGCGCAACAAGUCACUUGUGAAAUCUCCGGGCUUAACCCGGGGCGGCCAAGUGAUACUGUCGUGCUAGAGUGCGGAAGGGGCUACUGGAAUUCUCGGUGUAGCGGUGAAAUGCGUAGAUAUCGAGAGGAACACCUGCGGCGAAGGCGGGUAGCUGGGCCGACACUGACGCUGGAGGCGACGAAAGCCAGGGGAGCGAACGGG